rnacentral:rRNA from 1 species
UACAGAGGUCUCAAGCGUUGUUCGGAUUCAUUGGGGCGUAAAGGGUGCGUAGGUGGCGCUGUAAGUCGGGCGUGAAAUUUCGGAGCUUAACUCCGAAACUGCAUUCGAUACUGCGGUGCUUGAGGACUGGAGAGGAGACUGGAAUUCAUGGUGUAGCAGUGAAAUGCGUAGAGAUCAUGAGGAAGACCAGUGGCGAAGGCGGGUCUCUGGACAGUUCCUGACACUGAGGCACGAAGGCCAGGGGAGCAAACGGG